AUGGGAGAGAAAAGCUUAGUAAAAGGUAGUGAGAGGCGUUUGCCACGGUCGCCGAGUGGCAUCAUUGGGGCUCUUUGUACGUUAAAUUAUACUGGACUGGUCACUUUGCCAAACGGUAUCAUUGAGUCAGCUUGGUCAUGGGAUCACUACAAACUUGCACCGGAUUUCCUGGAUAUGCGUCAGAGGGUUUUUGAUAACAUAGCCAUGCGAGUGGUCAACGAUUUCUGGGAUUUCUAUACAUGCGUUGAGGGUCAGAAGGUUCGUGCAAAUGUGGUGGUUGAGAAUAUUGCCAAGAAACUAGUCCACGAGAUGCACUAUGAGGAGUGCGUCUGGUUAGUGGUCAAGUAUCAUGCAAACUAUCUUAACCAUAGGAUUUCCAAACAGGAGGCUCGAGGGACGCAUCUUUCACGGGACAAUUACUUCAAGCCGUGCUGGGAAAAGAUUGUCGAACGGUGGACAGAUCCAGGGUGGCAAGAUGAACACAAAGUAAUAUCUGAACAGCGUAAGUUGAUGGGGGGGUCGAGGACACCGUCAAGGCAACCUCACCAAAGAAGACACUGGCAAGGAUAUCACUUACUUCAAGGCAUGGACCAUCAAACGUACCAAAGACGACAAGGACAAAGACCCUCUCCACCCGGAGAUGGACUGGAUCAGCUCUAA
rnacentral:rRNA from 1 species